rnacentral:rRNA from 1 species
AACGCAUUAAGUUCCCCGCCUGGGGAGUACGGCCGCAAGGCUAAAACUCAAAGGAAUUGACGGGGACCCGCACAAGCGGCGGAGCAUGCGGAUUAAUUCGAUGCAACGCGAAGAACCUUACCAAGGCUUGACAUAUACGAGAACGGGCCAGAAAUGGUCAACUCUUUGGACACUCGUAAACAGGUGGUGCAUGGUUGUCGUCAGCUCGUGUCGUGAGAUGUUGGGUUAAGUCCCGCAACGAGCGCAACCCUCGUUCUAUGUUGCCAGCACGUAAUGGUGGGAACUCAUGGGAUACUGCCGGGGUCAACUCGGAGGAAGGUGGGGAUGACGUCAAAUCAUCAUGCCCCUUAUGUCUUGGGCUUCACGCAUGCUACAAUGGCCGGUACAAAGGGCUGCAAUACCGCGAGGUGGAGCGAAUCCCAAAAAGCCGGUCCCAGUUCGGAUUGAGGUCUGCAACUCGACCUCAUGAAGUCGGAGUCGCUAGUAAUCGCAGAUCAGCAACGCUGCGGUGAAUACGUUCCCGGGUCUUGUACACACCGCCC